UUUUAUGGAGAGUUUGAUCCUGGCUCAGGAUGAACGCUGGCGGCGUGCCUAAUACAUGCAAGUCGAGCGAACAGAUAAGGAGCUUGCUCCUUUGACGUUAGCGGCGGACGGGUGAGUAACACGUGGAUAACCUACCUAUAAGACUGGGAUAACUUCGGGAAACCGGAGCUAAUACCGGAUAACAUAUUGAACCGCAUGGUUCAAUAGUGAAAGGCGGCUUUGCUGUCACUUAUAGAUGGAUCCGCGCCGUAUUAGCUAGUUGGUAAGGUAACGGCUUACCAAGGCAACGAUACGUAGCCGACCUGAGAGGGUGAUCGGCCACACUGGAACUGAGACACGGUCCAGACUCCUACGGGAGGCAGCAGUAGGGAAUCUUCCGCAAUGGGCGAAAGCCUGACGGAGCAACGCCGCGUGAGUGAUGAAGGUCUUCGGAUCGUAAAACUCUGUUAUCAGGGAAGAACAAAUGUGUAAGUAACUGUGCACAUCUUGACGGUACCUGAUCAGAAAGCCACGGCUAACUACGUGCCAGCAGCCGCGGUAAUACGUAGGUGGCAAGCGUUAUCCGGAAUUAUUGGGCGUAAAGCGCGCGUAGGCGGUUUUUUAAGUCUGAUGUGAAAGCCCACGGCUCAACCGUGGAGGGUCAUUGGAAACUGGAAAACUUGAGUGCAGAAGAGGAAAGUGGAAUUCCAUGUGUAGCGGUGAAAUGCGCAGAGAUAUGGAGGAACACCAGUGGCGAAGGCGACUUUCUGGUCUGUAACUGACGCUGAUGUGCGAAAGCGUGGGGAUCAAACAGGAUUAGAUACCCUGGUAGUCCACGCCGUAAACGAUGAGUGCUAAGUGUUAGGGGGUUUCCGCCCCUUAGUGCUGCAGCUAACGCAUUAAGCACUCCGCCUGGGGAGUACGACCGCAAGGUUGAAACUCAAAGGAA
rnacentral:rRNA from 1 species